AAUGAAGGGGAUGAUGUCUUUCUAUGCGAAUAUGAAUAUGAGGCUAAGUUUUAAGCGUCUUGCCAAUCAUCAUGCAAUU